AACUGAUGAACAGCAAAUGCUUCUUCUAAGUUACACCUCUAGGUGGAUAUUUUGGGCAUCUUCGGGCGAAGUCAUUUGGAGACCCUCGUUCAUGGAUGAGAUGUAAUGGACGAGAUAAGAUCUAUGGCAAUUUAAUUUCCAGUUUCACGGCAGCGGGGCAGGAUCUCAUGCGGGCCCGUAUCCACGAUCGGCGGUAUAUUUUUGUUCGCCGAGGAGUAUUGACAGGCCCCAGGAGGCCAAUGGCGGCGGCGGCUGUGGCAGCGAUAGAGGCCGCAAGAGAACGAGGAGAAGUCGGUAACUUAACUGGCCUAAAUGGGUUUAACUCGAUGUGAUUUUGCUGGCGAACCACUAAAUUGAACGAAUACGAACUAAACUGAACUCAACUAAGCUAAUCAUAUCACAUUACUAGCGUUAUUAGCUGAGCGACGAUAUAAGUGAAGGUCCGGUGAGCAACGGGCUGCAGUGUAACGCAGUCUCCUGCACUGACCCUCCGCAUCCGCGACUUUCUCUUGCAUUCAUCUGUCGCGUAUCCUCCAUCUUGUUCUUCAUCGGCGUAGUGUGAACAUGACCUACUACAAUUGUGCCACCGUCGCCACCGACUGUCCGUCACCGUCGCGUCAGGUGUUUGAGUUUCACGAUGUCGUUGGAAGAAUAGUCAAGACAAAAUUAAAGCGAGUGACCUAAAAGCGGAAGUGAUCCUUUUUUAUUGAAGGGUGAGAAAAGGGUGAUCAACGGAGAUAAAUGAGGAAGGAGAAAUUCGAGUACUCCCUACCUCACAGCGACUGGAUUGGACGAAACCUGAAAAGAGAUAAGAGAUGAAGACGAAUGCGAUACGUCGUUGCCCCUCCAGCGCGGUUACUGAGGGGCAAAGUAGCUCGGCCCCUUUAAACUCCACCUCUCUUCGGCUACGUCUUCCACCGCUGUGACUAUCAUAGUCAAAUUAGCUUGCAGUAUUAACUUAUACUAUGCAGUAUUACUUCAUACAUACGAGUAUAUUAGUAAUCAAUUAGUAUAUUCCUUUUUUAGCUAUGUGCUACAUGUGUCGCAUUCACGAAAUAAGAUAGAUAUGUAAUGAAAUAUUGGAAGAAUAAAAUGUUAGCAGUUUCACAGAAAUACAGAGAUGUAACCAAUGAA